CCUGAAGAGGGGGAGGGCCCUCAAAGCAUUUAGAUGCCUGGGAUCCCAUUUCUCACAGAUUGUUUUUCCAGAGCAAAAGAAAAAUUUCUAAACAGCCUGAUUCUGAGGGAAUCAUGCCAAAUGCUAGCACACUUCUAAUAGUCCUGAUUACACCAAACGAGUACUCACAGAAAGGAUAAAGCCUUUAAACAGAAAGGAUGAAGCUUUUAUGAAACAGAUCUUGAAUAAAGCUGGAGAGCUCAAAAUGUUUUGCAAAGAGAGCAGAAUUUGAAUUCAGGAGAAAACUUAUCCUUAUACUCUAGGGUCGGCAAGAAGGCAGUGAGCUCAAUGGGCUCUGGGUACCAGCACCUGUUUGCCCACCAGCCUUGGAGUUGUUGGGGGUCUUCUCUGGAUUUCAUUUCUGACACCAAGUAAUGUUGACCUAAACAAACAAAACAACCAGUUAUUUUACCAGCAAAAUAGGUUUAUUUGGGAAUAGCAAAGGAAUUGCAAUUUGGGACAAGCCAGCUAUAGCAAAAGCCAUAGGCAAGUCAGCAAAUAAUGGAGAAAAAGGAGGAAGUUGAGAGGGGUGUUUUGAAUGAAAAUCCAUGGGUGGAAAGCCAGAGUUUAGGGUGGUGACAGUUUCUCAUUGGCUGAGUUGCUGGGCAAGGAGGAAAUCUUCCUCCUGCUGGGGUAAUAAUUGAUGUGGAACAGUAGUGUGUGAGAGCUCCCCUGCUGGCCUCCCGACCUCAUUUUAAAUGAAGUUUUCUUUCUUCUGCUUCACGUUACUGAAGUAAAAGAACUGUGCCAGAGUUUUAGUUAGCUUAACUAGUUUAAUGAAAUAAAAUGUUUAUGUUCCAGAGUAUGAGGCAUCUUGAAAUUACAUGAAUAUAAAGCACUACAACCAAGCUUUAUUCAAGAAAAACUGUAGGAGAAUGGACUUUUUUUACAUAUGGAAUUACAGCUUUCUGUCUGUACUUAUUCUUGCUGGUACUACUUUGUUGAAAAUCAUUUCUGGUUUUUGAUGAAUAAUUUUUGAUUUAAGGAUCAUUAUUAUAGUGAAACUGUUUGGCUGCAGUAUCUCUUGAAAAGUUUUUCUUGCACGGGAUUUAAAUGUUAAAAUAUGAUGAAAUGUCUAAAUAAGAUCACAGUGGAUUGUAUCAUAUCAAUAUCCUGGUCAUGAUAUUAUACUGUAGUUUUUGCAAAGUGUUACUAUGGGAGGAAAUGACAAAAUAUAUAGGGAUCUUUCUGUAGUAUUUCUUAUAACUGUAUGUGAAUCUAUAAUUUCCUUAAAUAAAAAGUAAAUAAAUAAAUAAAAAGCAAAAAACAAAAAAAUGUGAUGACAGACUUCCAGUUUUGGCCAAGAUGGAGUAAUGGAGACCAGAUUUAUUAUCCCACCUGAAACAGCCAUAAAAAAACAAAUGAAACAUUUGAAACAAUGGUUUUCAAGACACUGGAUGUCAGGCAAUCCUGAGAAUUGAGAAACAAAUUAGGUUCCUGUUGCAUGUAAAUCCUGUCCCUGUGGUUAUGUAUUUAUUAAUAGGAAACUUCUAAAAAUAAAACACUCAGAGAAAUCAUCACCUUUUACAGAAGUGAACAAUACCAUAUCUUUGAAAGAUUUGCGAAUACUGUUUUUAUAUGAAUUUAAACUAGGACAUAGUGCAGCCAUGGCAAGUAGAAACAUCAGUUCUGUCUUUGGAGAAGGCUCUGUUAGUGAAAGGACUAUCCGUUGGUGGUUUAAAAAAUUUCGUUCUGGUGAUCUGAGUCUGAAAAAUGAGCCUCGAGGGAGACCCAAAUCGGUUUUAAAUCAAGAUCAGUUGAGAGCUAUGGUGGAAGCUAACCCCAAAACAGCAAUUCGAGGCCUUGCAGCACACUUAGGAGUUUCUGCUACAACAAUUUCCCGUCAUCUGGCUGCAAUAGGAAAAGUGAAAAAAUUGGACAAGUGGGUAGGCACCACACCAGUUGAGGGAUGAUCAUAAACUGAGAUGGUUAGAGAUAUAUGCUCAUCCCUUAAGAUUUGAAAGAGCAGACAUCUGUUUUGGAGAGGAUCAUAAGCUUUGACAAAAAAUGAAAUUGAAAGCGAUUUGGACAAUGGUUGGAUGUUGAUGAAGUUAUCAAACAUGUUAAAACCAUCAUUGCAACCAAAAAAGGUUCUGGUAGCUAUAUGGUGGUCUGCAAAAAGGAUAUUUCAUUACUGCUUUUUAACCCCGAUAAAACAAACAGUAGCAUCAUAUUUUGAAGAAGUUGAAAUUAUGUAUCAAAAAUUGAUCUAAAAGUUCUCUGCAUUGGUUAACCGACAUGGACCUAUACUUUUUAUGACAGCAUUUGAUCACAGAUAUCACAGACCACUACAGGGAAGUUAACUGAAUUGGGCUAAAAAAUUUUACCACAUCCAUCAUACUCACCUGACCUUUUUUCAGAUUACCACCUUUUUCAUCAUUUGGAACUCGUUCUAAGAAACAGAAUAUUCUCCAGUUGAGAAGCUGUAAUUGGAGGAUUUGAAUAAAUUUUAACAAUGCUGAAUUUUAUCAAUAUGGUAUAUGUCAUUUAAUAUUUGGGGAAAUUUAUCAUAUUGGGGAAAGCAGUUAAUGCUAAAAGUGCAUAUUUUGGUUGAAUAAAGCUUUUCUUUUUCUCAAAAAUAUAACAUUUUCAUUUUGACCUACAAAAAGGCAAUUUCAUAUGGUUCAGCCUAAUACUUCCCCAGACCCUGGCAGAACAUGAAGACUGAAAGGUACCUAAAGUACUGGAAAACUACAAGCUGCUCCUGAGUUUUGGGCUUCUUCAUUGGAGGAAUGUGGAGCAACCCAAAGUGUAUGUGUGUUUGAAAGAUGCUUAGGAGUCAGCCAUGCAAAGAUCUGGGUAAAGAGGAUUCUAGGGGGAUGAGCAGCCUCAUCAAAGGCUCUCAGGCUCUCAGAACAUAUUUUGUUUUCUUUUUUUUUUUCUGAGGAAGAUUUGCCCUGAGCUAAUAUCUGUUGCCAAUCUUCCUUUUUUGGCUUGAGGAGGCUUCGCCCUGAGCUAACAUCUGUGCCAGUCUUCCUCUAUUUUGU